CCCCUAGAUGUUCUGGGCCGCACGCGCGCUACACUGAACAGUUCAACAAGUCUUAACCUUGGCCGAUAGGUCUGGGUAGUCUUUGAACGCUGUUCGUGAUUGGGAUAGACCUUUGCAAUUAUGGGUCUUCAACGAGGAAUUCCUAGUAAACGCAAGUCAUCAGCUUGCAUUGAUUACGUCCCUGCCCUUUGUACACACCGCCCGUCGCACCUACCGAUUGAAUGGUCCGGUGAAAUCUCGGGACGGCGGCUUGGUCGCUUGCGUCCGACUGCUGAAACUUGAUUAAACCAUAUCAUUUAGAGGAAGGUGAAGUCGUAACA
rnacentral:rRNA from 1 species